rnacentral:rRNA from 1 species
GACGAACGCUGGCGGCGUGCUUAACACAUGCAAGUCGAACGGAAAGGCCCUGCUUUUGUGGGGUGCUCGAGUGGCGAACGGGUGAGUAACACGUGAGUAACCUGCCCUUGACUUUGGGAUAACUUCAGGAAACUGGGGCUAAUACCGGAUAGGAGCUCCUGCUGCAUGGUGGGGGUUGGAAAGUUUCGGCGGUUGGGGAUGGACUCGCGGCUUAUCAGCUUGUUGGUGGGGUAGUGGCUUACCAAGGCUUUGACGGGUAGCCGGCCUGAGAGGGUGACCGGCCACAUUGGGACUGAGAUACGGCCCAGACUCCUACGGGAGGCAGCAGUGGGGAAUAUUGCACAAUGGGCGGAAGCCUGAUGCGGCAACGCCGCGUGCGGGAUGACGGCCUUCGGGUUGUAAACCGCUUUCGCCUGUGACGAAGCGUGAGUGACGGUAAUGGGUAAAGAAGCACCGGCUAACUACGUGC